ACGACGUCCGUGUUGUCCAAACUGCUGUUUGCUCCGUCCAACUCUCCCCUGCAGUAUCCCAUCCAGGGGUUCACAGUGCGACCUUUGACCUCCACUCUCAUCCCAGGUUUAGCGCUGCAUGCAGGACGCAGAAGCAGCUACAAGGUGUCCCUGAAAGUGUCCAAGGGCGUCCUCACCACAGAGACUGAAACUGAAGGCGUUAAGGUCCAAGGU